rnacentral:rRNA from 1 species
ACGUAGGGAGCGAGCGUUGUCCGGAAUUACUGGGCGUAAAGGGCGCGUAGGCGGGUGUUUAAGUCAGAUGUGAAAACUACGGGCUCAACCUGUAGACUGCAUUUGAAACUGGUCAUCUUGAGGGCAGGAGAGGAAAGUGGAAUUCCUAGUGUAGCUGCAAAUGCAUAAAAUCUGAGAGGGACCCUCCGGGGGAAGGGCGCUUUUCUGGAGUGUCCCGCAGCUUGGGGGGCAACAGGGUGGGAGCGAACAG